rnacentral:rRNA from 1 species
AUUGAACGCUGGCGGCAUGCUUUACACAUGCAAGUCGAACGGUAACAGGCCGCAAGGUGCUGACGAGUGGCGAACGGGUGAGUAAUGCAUCGGAACGUGCCCAGUCGUGGGGGAUAACGCAGCGAAAGCUGCGCUAAUACCGCAUACGAUCUGUGGAUGAAAGCGGGGGACCUUCGGGCCUCGUGCGAUUGGAGCGGCCGAUGUCAGAUUAGGUAGUUGGUGGGGUAAAGGCUCACCAAGCCGACGAUCUGUAGCUGGUCUGAGAGGACGACCAGCCACACUGGGACUGAGACACGGCCCAGACUCCUACGGGAGGCAGCAGUGGGGAAUUUUGGACAAUGGGGGCAACCCUGAUCCAGCAAUGCCGCGUGCAGGAAGAAGGCCUUCGGGUUGUAAACUGCUUUUGUACGGAACGAAAAGGCUCUGGUUAAUACCUGGGGCACAUGACGGUACCGUAAGAAUAAGCACCGGCUAACUACGUGCCAGCAGCCGCCGUAAAAC